rnacentral:snRNA from 1 species
CAGUUUGUUCUCCAUCCCA